rnacentral:misc_RNA from 1 species
UGUACCUCCAAUUCCAUUAUUAGUUUCUCAUGUUGUAGGUGGUGAUGGUUCAAUAGUUUUAUAUGAAGGUGAAAUACGUGAUGUCUGGAUUAGUCUGGCUAAUGCAGGCACAGUUCCAGUUGAGCAAGCACAUAUCUCACUCUCCCACUCUCUGGUAAAAACCAAGAUUCUGUUGUCUCAAUACCAUAUGAAACCUUAAAAUCUGCCCUUCCUUUGAAGCCUGGUGCAGAAGUGAUCCUACCUGUGACAUUGAAAGCCUGG